GUGCUCACUUUGGCAGUACAUAUACUAACACUGGAAGGAUACAAGGAAGAUUAGCAUGGCCCCUGCACAAGGAUGACACACAAAUUUAUGAAGCAUUCCGUAUUUUU
rnacentral:snRNA from 1 species